CCCUUAGAUGCUCUGGGCCGCACGCGCGCUACACUGGUCGAUGCAACGAGUUUCUUUCCUUGGCCGACAGGCCUGGGCAAUCUUUGAACAUCGAUCGUGAUCGGGAUAGAUUCUUGUAAUUUUUGAUCUUAAACGAGGAAUUCCUAGUAAACGCAAGUCAUCAGCUUGCAUUGAUUACGUCCCUGCCCUUUGUACACACCGCUCGUCGCACCUACCGAUUGAAUGGUCCGGUGAAAUCUCCGGACUGGCGUGAGUCGGAGCAAUCUGACAAACACCGGAAAGUUGAUUAAACCUUACCAUUUAGAGGAAGGUGAAGUCGUAACA
rnacentral:rRNA from 1 species